AAAACUUCACCUGUGAAUGGGGUCUCCAAUCUCUCCUUUUCUCUCCCUCUUUCUUCUAUGAAUGCAGAAUUUACUGUCUGGGUCAAAGAGGAUGUGUCCUAAAAGGAGAAUGAGAAAUAAAACCCAGACGGAGAAAGAAAACGUGGAGAAUAUUGCUGAUUGCAGCCAAGGGAAGAGAACGUUUCCAGAAGGAGGUUACCACUGAGAGGUCAAGUAAGGGACUGGAGAUGCUUCUGUAUCUUGGCAGG
rnacentral:lncRNA from 1 species